UGAGGAAUCUUCCGCAAUGGGCGCAAGCCUGACGGAGCGACGCCGCGUGAAGGAUGAAGGCCCUUACGGGUCGUAAACUUCUGUUCUGAGGGACGAAAUUUUUGACGGUACCUCAGGAGAAAGUAUCGGCAAACCCUGUGCCAGCAGCCGCGGUAAGACAGGGGAUACAAGCGUUACUCGGAAUUACUGGGCGUAAAGCGUCUGUAGGUGCUUUGGUAAGUCUGUGGUAAAAGCUCGGGGCUCAACCCCGAGAGCGUCAUGGAAACUACCGAAGUUGAGCAGUAGAGAGGCAUCUGGAAUGCCGCAUGUAGGAGUAAAAUCCGUAGAUAUGCGGUAGAACGCCAAAAGCGUAGGCAGGAUGCUAGCUACUUGCUGACACUGAGAGACGAAAGCGUGGGGAGCGAAGCGGAUUAGAUACCCCUGUAGUCCCUGAGCGGGCUGGCAAGGCGCAU
rnacentral:rRNA from 1 species